GACGAACGCUGGCGGCGUGCUUAACACAUGCAAGUCGAACGGAAAGGCCCUUCGGGGUACUCGAGUGGCGAACGGGUGAGUAGCAUGUGGGUGAUCUGCCCUGCACUUUGGGAUAAGCCUGGGAAACUGGGUCCAAUACCGAAUAGGACCACGCGCUUCAUGGUGUGUGGUGGAAAGCUUUUGCGGUGUGGGAUGGGCCCGCGGCCUAUCAGCUUGUUGGUGGGGUAAUGGCCUACCAAGGCGACGACGGGUAGCCGGCCUGAGAGGGUGACCGGCCACACUGGGACUGAGAUACGGCCCAGACUCCUACGGGAGGCAGCAGUGGGGAAUAUUGCACAAUGGGCGCAAGCCUGAUGCAGCGACGCCGCGUGAGGGAUGACGGCCUUCGGGUUGUAAACCUCUUUCAAUAGGGACGAAGCGCAAGUGACGGUACCUAUAGAAGAAGCACCGGCCAACUACGUGCCAGCAGCCGCGGUAAUACGUAGGGUGCGAGCGUUGUCCGGAAUUACUGGGCGUAAAGAGCUCGUAGGUGGUUUGUCGCGUUGUUCGUGAAAACUCACAGCUUAACUGUGGGCGUGCGGGCGAUACGGGCAGACUAGAGUACUGCAGGGGAGACUGGAAUUCCUGGUGUAGCGGUGGAAUGCGCAGAUAUCAGGAGGAACACCGGUGGCGAAGGCGGGUCUCUGGGCAGUAACUGACGCUGAGGAGCGAAAGCGUGGGGAGCGAACAGGAUUAGAUACCCUGGUAGUCCACGCCGUAAACGGUGGGUACUAGGUGUGGGUUCCUUCCUUGGGAUCCGUGCCGUAGCUAACGCAUUAAGUACCCCGCCUGGGGAGUACGGCCGCAAGGCUAAAACUCAAAGGAAUUGACGGGGGCCCGCACAAGCGGCGGAGCAUGUGGAUUAAUUCGAUGCAACGCGAAGAACCUUACCUGGGUUUGACAUGCACAGGACGCCGGCAGAGAUGUCGGUUCCCUUGUGGCCUGUGUGCAGGUGGUGCAUGGCUGUCGUCAGCUCGUGUCGUGAGAUGUUGGGUUAAGUCCCGCAACGAGCGCAACCCUUGUCCUAUGUUGCCAGCGGGUUAUGCCGGGGACUCGUAGGAGACUGCCGGGGUCAACUCGGAGGAAGGUGGGGAUGACGUCAAGUCAUCAUGCCCCUUAUGUCCAGGGCUUCACACAUGCUACAAUGGCCGGUACAAAGGGCUGCGAUGCCGUGAGGUGGAGCGAAUCCUUUCAAAGCCGGUCUCAGUUCGGAUCGGGGUCUGCAACUCGACCCCGUGAAGUCGGAGUCGCUAGUAAUCGCAGAUCAGCAACGCUGCGGUGAAUACGUUCCCGGGCCU
rnacentral:rRNA from 1 species